AACGAACGCUGGCGGCAUGCCUAACACAUGCAAGUCGAACGAGACCUUCGGGUCUAGUGGCGCACGGGUGCGUAACGCGUGGGAACCUGCCCUUAGGUUCGGAAUAACUCCCCGAAAGGGGUGCUAAUACCGGAUAAUGUCUUCGGACCAAGGAUUUAUCGCCUUUGGAUGGGCCCGCGUUGGAUUAGCUAGUUGGUAGGGUAAAAGACUACCAAGGCGACGAUCCAUAGCUGGUCUGAGAGGAUGAUCAGCCACACUGGGACUGAGACACGGCCCAGACUCCUACGGGAGGCAGCAGUGGGGAAUAUUGGACAAUGGGCGAAAGCCUGAUCCAGCAAUGCCGCGUGAGUGAUGAAGGCCUGAGGGUUGUAAAGCUCUGUUACCCGGGAUGAUAAUGACAGUACCGGGAGAAUAAGCUCCGGCUAACUCCGUG
rnacentral:rRNA from 1 species